GUUUUAGGAGGGGGGAGGGGGAGGGGGCUGGAGAGAGGUUCGGGAAUGUCGUUUGAGUCUUUGGAUGUCAGAGAGUAGUCCCGUUGUGGUGUCGGCUAUUCCAUGGCCUCCAUUCCAAUGAUUUGUGGCCAGGACAUUACUAUCACGGUGCGUCCCUCGAACCCGAUCCCCAAGGGCCAGAGCGUCAGCCUGUCCCCCCGAAUCUUUGCAGGACUCUUCCGAAAAUGCCAGUGGCUCCAGGGGAAUAAGGUGAUCCUGUCCCAAGAGGGAAUGUCGCCUUACCUUUUCGAGACUGGAGAGGCCUACAACGAGAGGGAGAGCGUGGGGCUGGACUGCUCCCUCUCCAUCCAAGGGGUCCAGAAAGAAGACGCUGGAUUCUAUACGGUGCUUAUAGACCGAGGUGGGAACUCAACAGAGAGGGGACAGGUCAACCUCCAGGUCUCAGAUUCAGGGACUUCUACCUGGGAUGAAGCUGCAUGGAAUUAUAACAGAAUGGUGACUAUCGUGGUCGCCGUUACCAUGACUGUCCUGCUCAUCGGAGCCGGGUUUCUGAUUUUCUUCUGUGUCCGUUUCCGAAAACCACGAAGUAGCCGGCAUGUCGCUGUCACCACCUCGUCCACACCUCCGCCAUCUGCGCCUUUACCUUCUGCGCCUCCGUCUUCUGCGCCUCCGCCUUAUGAGAACAUUUGCCCUUACGGACCCCCAGCAUCAUGGACCUCACCAUACAGAGUCCAGCCUGGAAAGGCAAACCAAGAGCCAAGGAGUCUACAAGCUGCCCAACCAUUGCCCUGAAAACUACAAAUCCCAUUUUAAAUAUCCAGCUGGAAAGUGCAGUGUAUUGUCCAGGACUUGUGGGAUCCAGGUUCGAGUUCUAUGCAGAACCACAAAGCCUAUUGUCAAGACGUCAAUCGUUCUCUCUUUUUCUCAACCAGGGCUGUUGUGUGUCCAUUGGGAGAAAUGUGGGAUAGAAAUUAAAGAACGA
rnacentral:lncRNA from 11 species